rnacentral:misc_RNA from 1 species
UACAUAUUAUAGCAAUUAAAAGUGCAUCAUUUAAAGCUUUAAUUUUCACAUUAUGUUAGGUUUGUUUCUCUUAAAUAUUCUAUGUGUUGUUCUCUUCACCUCACAACAUUGAUACUAGCAUUGCCUGUGACAACUAGAUGUGAAGGUCUUAUUGAGCUAAACUGACAUAAUUGUUUUGACAAAUUUGUUAUGAUGUACUUUUAAUGCUAGUAAGAGGGAGAGAGAUUAAGUAGAUUCACUUUCUGUAAUUUGG